GUCGGAUUAGCUAGUUGGUGGGGUAAAGGCCUACCAAGGCGACGAUCCGUAACUGGUCUGAGAGGAUGAUCAGUCACACUGGAACUGAGACACGGUCCAGACUCCUACGGGAGGCAGCAGUGGGGAAUAUUGGACAAUGGGCGAAAGCCUGAUCCAGCCAUGCCGCGUGUGUGAAGAAGGUCUUCGGAUUGUAAAGCACUUUAAGUUGGGAGGAAGGGCAGUAAGUUAAUACCUUGCUGUUUUGACGUUACCAACAGAAUAAGCACCGGCUAACUUCGUGCCAGCAGCCGCGGUAAUACGAAGGGUGCAAGCGUUAAUCGGAAUUACUGGGCGUAAAGCGCGCGUAGGUGGUUCAGCAAGUUGGAUGUGAAAUCCCCGGGCUCAACCUGGGAACUGCAUCCAAAACUACUGAGCUAGAGUACGGUAGAGGGUGGUGGAAUUUCCUGUGUAGCGGUGAAAUGCGUAGAUUUAGGAAAGGAACACCAGUGGCGAAGGCGACCACCCUGGACUGAUACUGACCCUGAGGUGCGAAA
rnacentral:rRNA from 1 species